UGCACUGUAUGGUAUCUGCACCCAGCAGUGAUCUCCUGGUGGGAUGUUCAAAAARCAGUGCUACAGUAGUUCAGCAUCUGGCAUCGUUGGUUUUCAUUCUGCUGUGUGUGAGAAACCUGGUAUUUCUGCUGAAACAUUU
ensembl:snoRNA